GGUGGUAACUAGCCACGGCCGAAGGCUCCCACCAGGCCAGACCAGAGAUUUAGAAAUUAUAAAAUUCAAAUCCCUGCCGGGAAUCGAACCCGGGACCUCCCUCUAUUUAGACCACAGCGCUUGCCACUGUGCCAGGGAUGUCGAAAAUAUAAUCAAAUAAUGAAAUGUUGCAAUAA